UCUCUCACUGAAUCUGGAGCUCACCAACUUUUCUAGUCUGGGGUUAGUUAUCCACAGGGACACUCCCUUCUCCUCUGUCCAGUCCUGAUAUUACAGAUGGUGCAUAUGAAUAUAUAGGUGUUCUUAGAGGCCAGACAUGUAACUCUCCAGGAGCUGUUGCUACAGGUCACAGUUUCUCAUCUGCAAAUCAGUAGACAACAUCAAGUUGGUGAGUCCCACAAACUCUGUGAGCCUCUCCAGAUGAAACGAUUUCUCCAGAUGAAACAAAACCGGCCUAGAUGAGUCAGCCACCAUCCAACCCACCUGAAUGUGGAGUGCUUAUUGUUGCAUGUUGCUGAGAUUUCUCAAUUGUCUAUUGUACUACGACUUUGUAAAUACGUGGUUGAGUGAUUGGAUUUCUGAUGCUAAACUUUACUCAUGUAAUAAACAUAAAUUUCUAAAAUA